ACUGGAGUAAACCAGCUGCUGGGCCUGCUGGCUUAGUGCUGGCCUGUUGGCUGGCCUGCUAAAGAUGGUCUGCUUUCAUCAUUUUUUCUGCUGUUUUUUUUUGGACAGACCUGGGUGUUUUGCUGUUGGAUCCUGCUGUUUGGAGAGGGCUGUUGGAGCGCGGGUCAGGUCGGGAUGGCUCCGAGGGUCAGGUGGUCGGGUCGGGUUAACCCGACUGACUUUUAAUUUUUUUUCUUUUUUCUUUUUCUUUUUCUUUUUCUUCUCCCUUUUUCUUCUUCUUUUAUCUUUCUUCUUUCUUCUUCUUCGGGCAGCACCUUAACCCCACGUGCGCCUUUGAGGGCGUUUCCUCCACCUGGUACGACGGCCGGUGGUGGCACGGUGGCGAUGAAGGGAUGACUGGGCUUUCUUUUUGGACCUUUCUUUUUGCUUUUUUUCUUGUUUUUUGCUGCUGCGUUUUUGUUUUGCUUCUCUUUUUGUUUCACUUUCUCUUGGCUUCUAGGUGGUGGUACGGUGGCUGCGGUGGAGGGUAGUGGCACGACGGUGGCGAGGGCUGUUGGGCUGUUAUUGUUUGGAUUUUUUUGAAUUUUCUCUGUGGCAGAGGAGGGCAUCAUGGCCUAGGUCAUCUGCUGAAGUAGCUGGAGGUGAGGGGAAGCACGCUCGGCUGUUGAUUGGGGGGGUCUGACAUGCCCAGAAGGACCAAAAUGUAGAAGACACAAAAUAUUUGGGGUAAAAAUGUAAUUUUAGGAAAAUAUGGGGCCAAAAUGUAAUUUUCAAAAAGUUUAGGGGUCAAAGUGUAAUUUUGAGAAAGUUUGGGGCCAAAAUGUAAUUUUAGCAAAGUUUGGGGUCAAAAUGUAAAUUUUUAUUUUUUGUA